GACGAACGCUGGCGGCGUGCUCAACACAUGCAAGUCGAACGAUGAAGCUGGAGCUUGCUCCGGUGGAUUAGUGGCGAACGGGUGAGUAACACGUGAGCAAUCUGCCCUUGACUCUGGGAUAACUGCGGGAAACUGUAGCUAAUACCGGAUACUUUCACUGGAAGGCAUCUUCUGGUGAAGGAAGAAUUUCGGUCAAGGAUGAGCUCGCGGCCUAUCAGCUUGUUGGUGAGGUAACGGCUCACCAAGGCGACGACGGGUAGCCGGCCUGAGAGGGUGACCGGCCGCACUGGGACUGAGACACGGCCCAGACUCCUACGGGAGGCAGCAGUGGGGAAUAUUGCACAAUGGGCGCAAGCCUGAUGCAGCAACGCCGCGUGAGGGAUGAAGGCCUUCGGGUUGUAAACCUCUUUUAGCAGGGAAGAAGCGAAAGUGACGGUACCUGCAGAAAAAGCACCGGCUAACUACGUGCCAGCCGCCGCCGUAA
rnacentral:rRNA from 1 species